rnacentral:rRNA from 1 species
GAUGAACGCUGACAGAAUGCUUAACACAUGCAAGUCUUUGGCGAAGCUGUGCUUGCACAGCCUAGCCAAGGCGGACGGGUGAGUAACGCGUAAGGAACUUGCCCUGCAGUCAGGGAUAACAGACGGAAACGACUGAUAAGACCUGGUAAAGUCAGGCGGACUCAUGUCCAGCCUGAUGAAAAGAGAUGCUGCAGGAGAGCCUUGCGUCCUAUUAGCUUGUUGGUGGGGUAACGGCCCACCAAGGCGAUGAUAGGUAGCCGGCCUGAGAGGGUGGACGGCCACAAGGGGACUGAGAUACGGCCCUUACUCCUACGGGAGGCAGCAGUGGGGAAUAUUGGACCAUGGGGGCAACCCUGAUCCAGCAAUUCUGUGUGCACGAUGAAGGUUUUCGGAUUGUAAAGUGCUUUCAGCAGGGAAGAAAAAAAUGACGGUACCUGCAGAAGAAGCGACGGCUAAAUACGUG